UACGUAGGGGGCAAGCGUUGUCCGGAUUUAUUGGGCGUAAAGAGCGUGUAGGCGGCCAUACAGGUCAGCUGUGAAAACUCGAGGCUCAACCUCGAGACGUCGGUUGAAACCGUAUGGCUAGAGUCCGGAAGAGGAGAGUGGAAUUCCCGGUGUAGUGGUGAAAUGCGUAGAUAUCAGGAGGAACACCAAUGCGAAGGCAGCUCGCUGGAACGUGACUGACGCUGAGACGCGAAAGCGUGGGGAGCAAACAGG
rnacentral:rRNA from 1 species